rnacentral:rRNA from 1 species
CGGCGGACGGGUGAGUAACACGUGAGUAACCUGCCUUAGACAUUGGGAUAGCCUCGGGAAACCGGGAUUAAUACCAAAUGAAAUCACAUAUGCACAUGCAUAAAUGAUCAAAGCUCCGGCGGUCUAAGAUGGACUCUCGUCCCAUUAGCUAGUUGGUGAGGUAACGGCCCACCAAGGCGACGAUGGGUAGCCGGCCUGAGAGGGUGAACGGCCACAUUGGAACUGAGAAACGGUCCAAACUCCUACGGGAGGCAGCAGCC